GGAGGAGGAGGAAGAGGAGGUGUGGUGGCAUCCAUCGCUUACAGCUCUGGGGUUUUGGGGAAACAGGAAAAGUGUUGAAUCGUUUCCAGAUUUUUCUAAAGUCUCUCAUUCGUUGUUAUAAUGAACCCUGCACACACCCCACACCUCCUCUGCAGACCGAAGUCCAGUUCUGCUCCAUACCCGACUCUUUAGGGAAAGGAAAAGGGAGCGAAGGCCCAAGAAGAGAAGAUGUUCUUCGUCAGUGUCCUAGCCAGCUGUGUCGGAGGAAGCAAAGGCUGCCUUAGGAGGUUCCGGUCAUUACCUGGCUGUGGGAGAUGUGGGAGUGAGGACCGGCUCCGGCUCCAAGCUUUUCAGAAGCUCUGCCUUGAUGACUGGAUCUUCCCUCCCACAGCCGUCCAGUCAGCAGCUCUCCGGAUCCGUCUGGGAUUCUCCGCGUUCUGGUCGUCGUGACGACACUAGACGGGCUUACAGAGACAAAACGAAGAACAGAGGAGCGCCACCAAAACACCACAAUACGCCAUUCACUGUGUUAUGAAUUUUUUAUUAUUAUUAUUGUGAAAUAUGCUUUUACAUUUUUCACUACCCCACAGACUAGGGUAGUCAUAAAUAAAAUAUUCUUACAAAAUGUUGCAAUAAAUCACAAAUCAAACUAUUUUUUGUUUUGUUGCUUUUUUUGUUUUGUUUGUUUUUGUACAGUUGAUUGGUUUUUAUUUAUACAUAGAUCAUAUUUACAUUUUUGCCCUUUUCUUUUGUUUUUACAAUGCUGAGAAUGAAUAGUGUACCAUUUAUAUAGUACAAACAUUUCCUUCGAUUGAAAGCAGAGGUAUAAAAGCUCUCCUCUGUCCUGAGAAGACGCUGGCUUCUACUCUAGUGCAUUUUAUCGUCAAGGUUUUUAAGGCUACGCGGGCUUCACCUGAUGCACACACACACGCACGCGCGGGUUCACCAUCAUCAUCAUCACGGUCGUCGUGGUGGAGGACGACGGAGCUCAUUCUCCUGAACUGCGUCUGCUGAUUGUCCCUGGCACGGAACGCCCUCCCCCCUCCGCACUCUUCCAACAUUAAAGCUGCUGCCGACUGCCUGCGUUGAAUCACCAAUUACGUUCUGACAACUUAUUUGUUCUUUCAGUCGGUUACAAAUGCCGCAGGGGGAAAAUGUCACGGAGCGCGAGGGCCCACGCUCGUCACAUUAUCUGCCGUACGCCGAUGACCCGCCGAGAAACAACAACAACAGGAGAAGAAAGUCGAUUUCCCACCGCGGGGGGGAAAGGAGCGGAGUUUGUACUUUUCUGUUUGUUUUGGUUUCCCGGACGGAGCGAGUCGGUGCAGUGCUCCCUAGUGGUAAAAAAAAAGAAAGGAAGAAAAUAGAUAAAAAGCCCUUUUCUUUCUGUUUCUGCGACAGAAAUCCAUAAACAAAAAGACGUGAAGCAGAUAAUUGGCGGGAACCGUGAGCCUCUUACGGGACGUCCUACGAUAACUCCAGUCCUGCACGCAGACGCAGUGAGGGCAGCUAGCAAACUGAGCACACUAGACGAAAGAGCAAAGCGUGGCGUUGACUCCGCUCGCUCCCAAACUGCAACACUGUGUUUUUGUUCUCACAACUUCAUGUUUUGUUUUUUUUGUUUGUUUCUUCAUCCUACCUGUCCAGCAGGUAAACUGUACAGCCUACAAAUCUAGGUUUGGAGGAACAAACAGUGCAGUUUGCACUGUAGGAAAAAAAAUAAAA